rnacentral:misc_RNA from 1 species
GAUGAAGAACGUAGCGAAAUGCGAUACGUAAUGUGAAUUGCAGAUCUCUCAGUGAAUCAUCGAAUCUUUGAACGCACAUUGCGCCCGCUAGUAUUCUGGCGGGCAUGCCUGUCCGAGCGUCAUUUCAACCAUCAAGCCCCGGGCUUGUGUUGGGGUCCUGCGGCCGUCCGCAGCCCCCGAAAAGCAGUGGCGGGCUCGCUAUCACACCGAGUGCAGUAGUAUCUCCUCGCUCUGGUCGUGUGGUGGGUGCCGGCCGUGAAACCCCCUACUUUUACAAAGGUUGACCUCGGAUCAGGUAGGAAUACCCGCUGAACUUAAGCAUAUCAAUAAGCGGAGGA